GACGAACGCUGGCGGCGUGCUUAACACAUGCAAGUCGAGCGGAAAGGCCCUUCGGGUACUCGAGCGGCGAACGGGUGAGUAACACGUGGGUAACCUGCCCUUCACUCUGGGAUAACUCCGGGAAACCGGGGCUAAUACCGGAUACGACCACUUUAGGCAUCUUCGGUGGUGGAAAGUUUUUCGGUGGAGGAUGGACCCGCGGCCUAUACAGCUUGUUGGGUGGGGUAAUGGCCUACCAAGGCAGUGACGGGUAGCCGGCCUGAGAGGGCGACCGGCCACACUGGGA
rnacentral:rRNA from 1 species